GGGCUCACGCGUGGGGGCGGCCUGCUCAGGGGGCGGCCUGCUCAGGGGGCGGCCUGCUCAGGGGGCGGCCUGCUCAGGGGGCGGAUCCGCAGCCCGGCCUACCCGAGGCGUCUAGGCCGUGCCUAAGCAAGUCGCCUCGGCUCGGGUGAAAGCUGAAGCGUUGCAGCGCGGCGUUGUGCCCGGCCUCGCCGACCGGCUGGCUAGCUGGCGUGAUCCGGGCAGUGUAGGCUUGUAAAUCCUUAGACUGAAGUGUCCUCUGCCGCCACGACUUUUUAUAAUAGAAAUGUUGUGGGGUUUUUGCUUUUCCCGCCGUGUUGCUGUUGGAACGCGUUGCUAGAGCAAGCUGCGGCCGCUGCCGUGACUCUAGGCUUUGCCCCCUGCCCACCAUGACAAAACAGCAUCCGUUUUCAGAGUGCCUCGGAAUUUUCAGAUUGAGUUUUCCGUUUGUGCAGAAGGAAGAUUUAGGGCUGUGUAGGAACUAUACGUCCUGAAGCUUUGGUUGUGUAAAAUUUUAUGUACAUAAUUAAUUUUAAAUCGCCGUGGUGAAGUGUGGCUGAGCAUGGGUUUUGGACUGAGUGAUGUCUCAGUCUGAAAAUUUUGGCGAAGUUUUAUCAGAACUUUCCUCAUCAUUGCCAUUUUCUUGUGCUAGAAGGAUUUGUUGAUUUAAAUUGCUACAAAUAUUCUUCUAUUGAAACUUUUGCAAAACCCGUGCUUAAAUGUAAGCAAAGCUUAGUAUGUUCUGAUUUUUUUUUUUUUUUUUUACAUUCCUGUUUAUCUGCUGCAGUAUGCAAAAAGAACAGAGGUCAUAUUUGAAAUUACUUGGGGAAAUUGUUUUAAACAAACCAAAUUUUGUUUCUAUAAGAAACAAAAAAACCCCAAAAGCAAAUAACACAAAACAAGCCAAAAACCUCCCCAAAAAAGUUUCAGGAAAUUUACCAGCAAUUAGCUGGCCCCUGGAUGGCACUGUUGUGCCUAGAAUUCUGCUUUGAAGUCUGAAUGUUUAAACAAAUACAGCUGUUGUCAGCUGUCUCUGUAAUACAUUUUAUCUGCAGGACCUAGCAUUUGGAUCUUGUUAUAUUUUAGUAUUUGAUUUCUAACUGGUACUUAGGCAUCUCCUGUGAGUGAACUGCAACAAAAUCACCCUUGACUGUGCUUUUUAUCAAGCUUUGCAUGCAAAUGAGGUUAGCCCAAACUAGUCCUUUCAAAGUGUUACUUUUGAGUUCCAUUUAGGAUGUUUCUGAAAGUGGUGCUGGAUGUUCAGUAGCAGUCUAGGUGUCAUCUGGAUCAGUAAAGAGCCAGCUGAAAAUACUUUGAGAUCAUCCUUUCAUUUUGUAGUAAAGGAAUUUUGUUCCAACAGGAGCUGAAUUUAAUUUAAAGUGUAUUUUUGUUUUGAGAGUGCUUUGAGUCUCACUGCAGAUGGGGGGGUGUUUACCCCAGCUGGUGCUUCACAAAAGUUCUGACUUGGACUAUUAUAUCCAGUUUAGCAAAAGUCAGCCAACCAUCAGAGAGUGAACUUUUCUUUGCAGUACCACCAGUGUCAGGCAGCUACAGUGAUCUGUGCGAGGAGGAGCUGAAUCUGACUCUGUCUGAGAAUAGAUUAGUACUGAAUGUGAUAGACACCAUGUUUAAGAAUUGGUGGAUAUAAUCUCACAUCUAGGUUGUGUUUGUUUGCAGUGACUGUAAAAUUGGAUGCAAAAAAAAAAAAAUCCAGAAGGAAAGAUCUUCCAAGGAAAAGAAAGAGCUCCUUCCUUUUGUCUUGGUAUUUCAUGCAAAACUAAUCCUUACAUAUGCCAGUUUUAGGUUCUGUUGUGCAUCUUAGCAAAGAGAAAGACAAAAGCAGGAGCAGGGAGCCAGCUGCGGUUCUGUGAAUCCAACCAGUGCCAGCUUCACUGAGGCUGGCACUGGUUGAAUUCAAUUAGAGUUGUUCCAUCUCUGUAGCCUAUUGGGUCAUAACUUCAAUUUUCCUUUCCAUUUCCUCUGAACACUGAAAUAACUUGCUUUGAAAGUUUCUUGUCGUUAGGGCCCUAAUGACACACUUCUGGCCCUUCUUCAUCCAACAAUUUUGUUUUCUUCUGACUUAGUCAUUGCUGAAAAUAAGUGCUUUAUUUCUUUCUCCCUUUUUAAACCUCAGUGGUCAUCCAGAGUUAAGAAUCUUUGUACCUCAUAGCUUCCUUGUUGGCCCUUUGUCAUACUAUUUUUGACUUAAAUCUUGACUAAGUCAAGAUUUUCUUGUCAGCUUGUCACAGCCAGGAUGCUUUGAGGCAUUGCCCCAUAUAACACUUUUGUACUUUGAUGCUUCAUUCUGACAUUUCUUCCUGUGGUGUCAGUAUUUCACUCCAAUAUUUUGGCAUAUAUCCUUGGUGUUGGAAUGCAGUUUUCUGAACUAUUUUCUCUCCUUUGUGAACAACUGUCUGUGUUUGCACAUUGCAGGGCAGCAUAUAUUUAUUGGCUACGAAGAUGGUGAAGCCAUACAGGGAGCAGCUGAGGACACUUGGUUUGUUCAGCCUGGAGAAGAGGAGACUGAAGGCAGACCUCACUGCAGGAGGAACUCUUGAAAAUAAACUGCAGAAGCACUCUGAAGAGUUCCCAUGAGCAAAAGACGGACAGUGGGUCUUUGUCGUGGUUCUCAAACAAGAGAUGUACUGGGAAAGAUGAGAAUGAAGUGGGUCUGACUCAUUCACAGAGCGAGGUUGUUCAAAUUUUCAGUAAAAUAUGCACAGGGAGUGCAUAUCUGUGGUGUCUACAGUUAGAGCUGUAGGAUGAGUCCUUGUACCAAGUCCCUGAAAAGGAAUUUGGAAGAGUCAAGUCUGAAGCUGAACAGAAUUUGGGUAGGAUUCUUCCCUCAGGAGUCCAGUCCAAAGCACUCAUCAAACUCCAUAGAUCAGAAGCUUCCUUGCUUCUAAAACAAAGCUUUAGUUUGGUAAAUCAAAUGAUUAAAGUACAAAGAGUACUACUUUGAAAAUUGUAUGUUUACACAGUACUGUUAAGUGGUCAUUAAUGAGAAUCAUGGUUCAGUGUUGAUAAUAAAAAUUUUGAUAUAUGAGAAAGAUAAAAGACAUACAAGAACAAAUUUUAACAAUGUUAAGUUCUCUGAAUUUCUUUCAGGCUACUAGUUAACAGUUGUUUUUACCAGAAUGCGCAAAGGAUUGUGGCAUUUUAACCUGAGUUUUUUUUAAAGGCAUUGUUUCGUUAUAUCCUAUUCUUAAAGUAAACUGAUUUUUUCUAGAAAAAGAUUCAUGUUUUGUCUCCAUGAAAAUCAGCAAAAUGUAACAAAAGCUUGAAAUGCACUGUAAGUUUUCUUAAAGUAAUUAGUUAUACUCAGUAGUUCUUGGAACACUCAAAUUUUCUGUCACUUAUCUUCUGACUUUAAGACUGCUGCUGUCACUUAGGUUAUGAGCAUAAUCACAGAACUAAUGAAAGUUCUAAGAGGUUUGGGUAGCCAAGAACAUGAGCAAGUGUUGCAAUAUGAGGUGCAUAAUGCAUUUUACAAUCUCACAUACAUUUCAAGCACUACCCUUAUAUAUUUUCACUUGACCAUCUGUUAUAUCUUUGAAUAGGAAAGUACAUUACUGGCCAAUUUCAGGAUACAUUUAAUAUAAGAUAGAUUGUAGCAACUUGAGAGAAGAAGGUUCUACUUAAAAGCAUGUGAGUCCAGUCAGUUGUAGUAGCAAGUUCUCAAGGAAAACUUCAUCAUUUUUUUUAUCAAAAUGAGCAAAAAGUUAGAACAAUUUUCAAUAAUUUGUCUUCAAUAUGUAGUUUAUGAAACAGUCUGAUUUUCGUUUUAUACAUUUUAUAGGAACAUAAAAGCUGGGAGACUUUAUGCUUUAAAGCUGGACAAUACACAAACACAACAAGUGUUUUCUUGGUUUUUUGUGUGUGUGUGUUCCUGGCUUAGAACUAGUUUACAAUUAGUCUUAGAAAGCUAAUGUUAAUACCUAAACAUAAUUUUAUGAUGCAAGUUUGAGAGUAAGAGUCUGUGGUGAAGAUUCUGACUAAUGAAUCUGUAACUGUGGCACCAUUAGCAGAAUUUUAUUUCAAGGUUUUUAAAAGCGUACUUGAGAAAUACAGAUGAAAAAUUAAUGAGUCUUUUUAAUUUACAAGUUUGUUGAACCCGCACAAACAGUAAAAAGUGUUUCAUUUAAAAGCACUCCGUGUCAUUGCAAGAGAGUACAUUAUGUGAUAUACCCAGAGUUUAUGUAACAUAUGAUCCUUUGGCAAAGAUUAAACAUACUGAGCUUUCAAGCUGCAAAAUGAUGGAGAAAAUCUGGUGUCUUUCCAAUGUCAAAGCUGUUGUUGAAUGUUUCCUAUGAAAUCACUAAAAACAAGAUAAUUUUCUGAAUUCUGAAAGCUUGAGGCUGACAUGGUGGAAAGCAACUUGGCAGGAAAACACCUUUGUGUCCUGGUGGGCACUAGUUGACCAUGAGCCAGAAAUGCACCGUCAUAGCAAAGAAGGCUGGAGGUCUCCUGGGUUACAUUAGGAAUGACAUUGCCCGGUGGUAGGUUGAGGGUAGUGUUUCUUCCCCUCUGUCACGUGUGAGACACAUCUGAAACUGUCAGUCCAGCUCUAGGCUUCCCAGUGCAAGAAAUACAUGGACAUCCUGGAUCAAGUCAAGUGGAGGAUGACUACAGGACCAUAUCUUCAAGGAGCAUGCAAGAGAGCUGGGACUGCUUAGCCUUGAAAAAGCUCAGGGGGGGUCUUAGCAAUAAACAUAACUAUGUGAUGAAUAUAAUUAUGUGAUGAAUAUAACUAUGUGUAGUGGUGCCUACUUGAUAUGACAAGAGGCAGCAGAUGCAAACUGAUAGUAAUAUAAAAACCCAGUGUAUAAGUAAGUUUUUGGUGUUUAUUAUUCUAUAUUGAAACAGGCAAGUGAUGGGAAGAAUAGGCCGUUCCUAACUGAUCAAUGUUUAUAUCUCACUUCUUUAUGUUUUUUGAGCAACUUUGUUAUAUCUUGAGGGAACACAUUGGGGUAGAAUCUUGUAUUUUGGUCAGAAGAAUAUUGCUAGAGUGAUGAAAAGAUGUUAGCCAGCAGACUUGCAUGAUUUGAGCAAAAGAGUACUCCCUCUUUUAUGGUUUUUUUUUUUUUUUUUUUUUUGGUUGGUUGGUUGUUUUUUUCCUGGUGUGAUUUUGUAGGAAGGUGGAGUUUGUUUUUUGUAGCAAGUGAGUAAUAUGCUAGAACAUGGAAGAAUCAAGAAUGUUGUUACUGCAUAAAUAUAUUAGACACCUGUGAUGGUUUUCUUCACAGUCUCCAAAUCUGGCCUCCUUUUCAGUCUGCUGAAAUCUAUUCUGAAUAGAGAUUCCACCAUACAGAUUGUCAGGGACUUCCUGGUUUUUCUUAUUGUCUCUUUUUUCAAAUUGCCUGCAUUGUAUACAUCUGUUCUUGUUUCCAACUUGGUCUAACUUCCAUUUCUGAAAUAAAAGCCUUUCUUAGAUGCAUAACUUCUAACAGAAUAGGAAAGUAGUUGUGUCUGUUGGCUUGGAUUUUUAAUUUUUUUUGCAUUUCAUUGACAUUUGUAAUAAACACUCCAGCAAUUUUGUUAACCUCUGUAUUUU